rnacentral:lncRNA from 1 species
CUUAGCUCCCUCAUUUUGGAGCAUCAAAAUCUCUCUUUUCUCUAAUUUUAGGUUAGUUUUUCAGACCUUGUACAUAGUUCUUUAAUUUUGUGUGAGAAAUAGGUGUGUAGGCACUUGAGUUUCACCAAAACCGAAGUUACUACACACUCUAAAUCAAUCACAACACUUGCUUUCACAUAUCCAAGCCCUUGUUCUUGAGGUUUGUGGAUGUGUAUGUUGUUUUGGGUUGUUAAAACCGAAAAUCCCAUACCUUGAAGAAAGUCUCUCAUCAUUUGACAUCUUUGAGAGCUAGGUGGGAGGUUGGGUAGUUCUUCUCUUUUCUCUUCCUUCUCUCUGUAAUUUGAUGUUCAUAGCUUGUAUUUAUAAUAACAUGUGUGGUGAGUAGUUGGAUUUGAGGAUAGGGCAAACUUAUGUGCAAAUAAUGUAAAUUUCCAUGUGGUUUAAUGUUUAUGCAUGUUUUGAAUCUUUUGGCUACUAUACUUUCAUGUAUCCUAAGUGUGUUUAUAGAUUUAUCACCUAGAAGCAUGCUUUAAGAAAUUAAUGAAUCGGAAACAUGAACUUGAUAAACUCUUGAUUCAGUGAGCAUAUGUAGCUAAAUAGGUGGUGGCUUAGCUUAUUACUAUGGGAAGAACUAAGUUACUUGAAUUUCUUGCCUUGAAAUUAAAGUAUGAUGUUGUGAGUUCAGGUUCCGGAAGAAUUUAGGCUCACGGCACCAUAGACCAUUUAGGAUUCAAAAGAUUUGAAUGGGUAUAAAGGUUGUGUAAUUUAGCUUUGCUUCGGAAGAGAUUGUUAAAUUACAUGACUAGUUGGUUUCUUGGUAGCUUCAUCAAAGCACUAAGGGGAAAUUUAUCAAAGCAUGUUAUUACAUUAAAUAUGGGUUACAUUUUGUGCAUGAAUAAGGUUAGGUAUGAUACAUAAGUCUCUAUUCUUCUCAUUGAUUUAGUCUCUACAUUUUUAUUUGUUUUUUUAUUUUAUGCAACUUAAUUUUCUUUAUCCAAAUUAAAAUCAACCAAGCCGCUCACUACCACAAUUGUUAAUACCAUCCUCAUGAUCUUUAGCUUCCAAAGGGCUAAGGUUGUGAACUUGUAAAAAUGUAGACUCGCAUGUGUUUUCUAGGUUUAUUUUCACUGUGAUCUAGCUAGGGUAGGGUAGAGUUACUCAAUCCCUUGGGUACGAUACUCUUACUUUUCCCCUUUACUAAAACUUGACCUCCUAACUUGGGAGUAGGGCACAUCAUCCACAAAUUGCAUACACUUUCAUACUUAAGGAUGUCCCCAACAAGAGAGCAAAAGAAGAAGAUGGUAAUGGCGGUCUCCAGCACUUUGGUGGGUUUUUCUUAAUCCAUGAAUUUAAUGAGGAUGAUUGCUUAGAUUUGUUUCUUAGAAUCUGGGAGCUGGGUUUAAUUAAUUAAGGGAUGUAUUGUAUUGAGUCAUUU